rnacentral:rRNA from 1 species
CAUAUCAAUAAGCGGAGGAAAAGAAACCAACAGGGAUUGCCCUAGUAACGGCGAGUGAAGCGGCAAAAGCUCAGAUUUGAAAUCUGGCGCCUUUGGGCGUCCGAGUUGUAAUCUGUAGAGGAGUGUUCGAGUGUGGCUCUGGCCCAAGUUCCUUGGAACAGGACGUCAUGGAGGGUGAGAAUCCCGUGAAUGGCCUCUGUCCUAUGCUCAUGUGAACCUCCUUCAACGAGUCGAGUUGUUUGGGAAUGCAGCUCUAAAUGGGUGGUAUAUUUCAUCUAAAGCUAAAUACUGGCAGGAGACCGAUAGCGCACAAGUAGAGUGAUCGAAAGAUGAAAAGAACUUUGGAAAGAGAGUUAAAUAGUACGUGAAAUUGUUGAAAGGGAAGCACUUGCUCCCAGACUUGCCUGCAGUCCAUCAGCCAUCAUUUUUGAUGGUGCACUUGGCUGUAGGCAGGCCAGCAUCAGUCAGGGCGGUGGGAAAAAGGUGAAGGGAAUGUGGCUCCUUUCGGGGAGUGUUAUAGCCCUGCACGCAAUGCUGCCAGCUCUGACUGAGGACCGCGCUUCGGCGAGGAUGCUGGCUUAAUGGACGUAAGUGACCCGUCUUGAAACACGGACCAAGGAGUCUAACAGCUGUGCGAGUGUUUGGGUGAAAAACCCUCACGCACAAUGAAAGUGAAUGGAGGUGGGAACCCGUAAGGGCGCACCAUCGACCGAUCCUGAUGUCUUCGGAUGGAUUUGAGUAGGAGCAUAGCUGUUGGGACCCGAAAGAUGGUGAACUAUGCCUGAAUAGGGUGAAGCCAGAGGAAACUCUGGUGGAGGCUCGCAGCGGUUCUGACGUGCAAAUCGAUCGUCAAAUUUGGGUAUAGGG